rnacentral:lncRNA from 1 species
UAAUAUGCGUUCAGUCAUCCCCUGGUGUGUGUGAGAGAUUGGUUUUAGGACAGCCUUUUUGUCCCCCUUGGACACCAAAAGUGAUGGUGCUUAAGCCCCUUCACAUAACUGUAUAUAACCCCGUGUUUAUAAAAUGUACGUGUUGUUUUCACGUAUGCUCUUUAGGUUGUCUUAAUUAGAAGGGUCUGUUUUUCACCUAUAGUAGGCAGAACGAUUGACGACAAAGGGCCAGCUGUAGCUACUAUAAAUGUGCCUCUUUUAGGGUUCCUGUCACUAUGAAGCAUCUUGGGGAGGGAAGGGUGUAUUUGGCUUACAUACACAUUGAGGAAACCAAGGCAGGACCCCUAACUGGGUGAGAACCUGCAGGCAGGAGUUAAUGCAGAGGCCGUGGAGGGAUGCUGCUUACUGGCUUGCUCCUCAUGGCUUGCUCAGCCUGCUUUCCUAUAGAGCCCAGGACUACCAGGUGUGGAACCACCCCCCAUCAAUCAAUAAUUAAGGAAAUGUUGUAUAUAUUUGUGUGAAGUUCAGUCUUAUGAGGGCUUUUCACAACUGAGGUUCCCCUUCUCUGAGGACUCUAGUUUGUGUCAAAUUGACAUAAAAGCCAGCAUAGUGUGUGUGUGUGUGUGUGUGUGUGUGUGUGUGUGUGCAUGUGUUCCUGGUUCCUGGCUGAGGCAGCCAUAGCUGUAGUGUAGGAUGGGAAGUCUCUUACUAAAGCUGUGUACCCGAGGGCUUUUCCUCAGAUCUGGUGAACUCAGCCCUUGCUGUAAAGACUCAGAAUCUUCAAUAGGCAGCGCCUUGUGUUGCUUGUAUUUUUCUGAGAAGAUAAAAUUCAGAAGGGCACCUCCCCGCCGUUUCCCACAUUCUUGUCUUGGUAGGAUGGGGUCACCAGGAUACUGUUUUGACUGUCAUAAGAUCUGUGUUUCCUAAAGGUUUUUGUAAGUCGGGCAGCAUCUCAAACGUUGGUGCCAAGUUCAACUUCAAGGCCCUGAAGGUCAGACACAGCCGGUAAAGUUUUUGCAUUAGUUCCCUGCAGACCGGGAGACCCAGGGAAGGUCUCCUUUCUCUCCCAGUGAUAAAGCUUUCCCAGCUGUAGCAAUUUCCUUCUGGCCUUGGGGCAGCUCUGGUAAAUUAACCUUCUGUGUGGUAGGUUCUAAAACCAUGUGUCUUCAGACUCACUUGCACAAGCCAGAAAACCCUUUUGUCUGUGAAACAGAAGCUAGGAUUCCCCUCCUCAGCACCUUGUUUGUCUCCAGCUGACCUCAGGUUUGCUGAGUCAAUUCAGGUGACAAGUCCUGAUCAUUCGCCUCCACCUCCAAGUGCUGCUGUUACGGGCGUGUCACACCUGGGAAGUGUGGCGGGCAGACACUCUGCGCUAACCUACAUCUCCAGUUUAUUAUUAUUUUUUCCCUCAAGAGAUCAGGAGAAAGAGCAUGUCAGGAAACUGUAGGGUUAUUUUUUUUUUAAAACCAGUGUGCAGUUCAUACUUGUUGCUUCAAUCUGCCCAUCUGAUGCUUCUUGUUGGCUUUGCCACGGAAGUGACAUACAGCUGUCUCUCCAUCUCCGGGCUUUUAGUCUACCCAGAUCUUCAACAGGGUUGGACAGAGUGGACUUAAGGAAGUUAAUUGGUGGUUUUAAUAAAGCCAUUCUGGGAAACAAUCCUGCUCUCACAAAUGUGAGAUUUAAAAAUAACAGAUGGUCUGCAUUUAAAUAAACUUCGCAAUGAUGAGCGUCAGUGAAGGCUAUGAUGCCCGGUAGUUGUUCAUCUUAAGGAGUACAGAUUUUAUGUUUUACAGCUGCCUUGGUGGGUAAGAAGAGUCUGCAACCAUGAGGACCAGAGUUCACUUACAUAAAAAAAGGCAGGCAUGGCAGUGUGUGCCUGUAACACCCAUAGGUGGAACCCUAAGAUCUCUCUGAUUAGACAGCCCAGCCAAAAUGGUGAGCUUUGUUCGAGGCAAUAAGUUGGGAAGCCAUAACGGAACACCUCCUGUCCUGCUCUGGCUUGUGUGCGCACUCAAGUCUCUUGAGAACCCACAGCUCUUCUGGAAUCUCCCCUAGCAUGCACGGGUUUGAAAGCAGCUGAAAUCGCCUGGGUGACCAACUCCAAGAACUGGCUGCUUAGGUAGCAGCUCCUACAGCCUUGGUGAGGAUGCCAGGGAUGGACUGGUGUUUGCUGCCAUCCAGGGUGGUCCUUCACCAGUGGGAGCCGCUUCUUCAGUCAGGCAGACUCAGCAAUCACAGUGAAUCACAGUGGCAGCGGCUCCUGAUCCAGCCGCCUUCUGUCUUAGGUGACUGCUUGGCUCUGCUCUUGGGCAACUGCCUUCAUGCAGGGGUGGGAGGUGGGAGAUUUGGGAGGGGCCGUGACAGCUAGCUUUCAAUCAGUCACUUCAACCGCCUGUACUUUACGGCUUCUGUGAGAAAACCAAACCAAACCAUAAAGAAGUACUUUAUAGAGAUUUAAUAUUCAGUUAGCAAUUUUUUUUUCAGCUCACUUUUUCUAAGACUAAGUUACAGUUGUGUUUUUGAGAAUGAUAGCAGUUCUCAAUCUGGAGUGAUUUGCACUUUCCAGUUUAGAUUGCAUUUAGCAAUAUCUGAAGACAGUUGUGGUUGUUAGCACAGAUGUGGGAAGGGAUUGCUGGUAUCUGCUGGGUAAGAUAGAUCCAUGGAUGUGCCAAGCAUCCCGAACUGUACAGGACUGUGUGACGGUGUGCACUAGCUUGGUCCAAAUGUAUCCUGAAACCCUACUCUUUUCUGCUUUGAUCUCUUGCUCUCUCAAUAAAAGCAUCCCGCUAAAGUAAUUUCCCAAUCUCCCAGAGUGUUUUUUCUGGGGCGUAUGGAUUAUAUAGUCUUCAGACUCUUAUUAACUUUAAUAUUAUUGUUCUAUGUGUUAUGACAAUAUAUUUUUAGAUCAGUGGAUACCCUAAUCCUCUUUACUUCUAAACUGGUUCUUGUUAUAAUUGUGAGCAGGUGAGCUAUAACAUUAUUUUUAUCUGGAUCUUAAGGACACAGAUUUGGGCACAGCACAUCACCAAUCUGGCAAGUGUUUUCUGAGGGCUAGCAGGGGAGCACCAGCAAGCUCCAUUCUUCUCACUCGAGUUUUGUUUUGUGUCGUGUCGUUUGUUUGUUUUUGCUGUUUGCUUAUUGUAGUUACUUACCAAACACCUCGGUUACCAACCCUGACCAUGUAAGAGGCAGGCAUUCAAGUGUGGCCAGUGAGCCCUGUUGGCAAGCUCCGCCCCUUGGCUUUUCCCCUCCUCUCCGGUUUGAUGAGUAAGUGUGUGAUUUUUCCUUCUGCUUCCUUCUCCCCAAGCAUGGUUUAUUGCUGGCCGGCCGGAGUGGUAAUGAAUCACUUGGAAAGGCAGCUGACUCUCUCUCUCAGCAGCACUCUUGUGUGCUAAAAAUAAGAGGAAGAUGAUUCCCAAGUUCACACCCACAUUCACUGCCGAGUUCACACCCAUAACUGCUUUCAUCAGGUCCUCAGGCCGGAGGCAGGCAGACUUAAGCUGGAGCCUCUUAAGUUUCCCCAUUUAAUUUGUGCCUUAGUGGGAGUUCUUUCUGUAUUUGUCUCGGCCUGGUUUCUGUUCACCGGAGAAGACUGUAAUAAUUCAAUCUCACUU